rnacentral:misc_RNA from 1 species
GAUGAAGAACGUAGCGAAAUGCGAUACGUAAUGUGAAUUGCAGAUUUCAGUGAAUCAUCGAAUCUUUGAACGCACAUUGCGCCCGCUAGUAUUCUGGCGGGCAUGCCUGUUCGAGCGUCAUUUCAACCAUCAAGCCCUAGGCUUGCGUUGGAGCCCUGCGGCUGCCGCAGGCUCCCAAAUCCAGUGGCGGGCUCGUCGUCGUACCGAGUGCAGUAAACAUCCUCGCUCAGGGAACGUGACGGGUUCUUGCCGUGAAACCCCCCACAUAUCAAGGUUGACCUCGGAUCAGGUAGGAAUACCCGCUGAACUUAGGCAUAUCAAUAAGCGGAGGA